rnacentral:rRNA from 1 species
UACGUAGGGUGCGAGCGUUAAUCGGAAUUACUGGGCGUAAAGCGUGCGCAGGCGGUUUUGUAAGCCAGAUGUGAAAUCCCCGGGCUUAACCUGGGAAUGGCAUUUGGGACUGCAAGGCUUGAGUGCGGCAGAGGAGACUGGAAUUCCUGGUGUAGCAGUGAAAUGCGUAGAUAUGCGGAGGAACACCGAUGGCGAAGGCAAUCCCCUGGGCCUGCACUGACGCUCAUGCACGAAAGCGUGGGAACAAACAG